rnacentral:rRNA from 1 species
CCUACGGGUGGCUGCAGUGGGGAAUAUUGGACAAUGGGCGAAAGCCUGAUCCAGCCAUGCCGCGUGUGUGAAGAAGGCCUUCGGGUUGUAAAGCACUUUCAGUGGGGAAGAAAGCCUUGGGGCUAAUACCCUCGAGGAAGGACAUCACCCACAGAAGAAGCACCGGCUAACUCCGUGCCAGCAGCCGCGGUAAUACGGAGGGUGCGUGCGUUAAUCGGAAUUACUGGGCGUAAAGCGCGCGUAGGCGGUCUGAUAAGCCGGUUGUGAAAGCCCCGGGCUCAACCUGGGAACGGCAUCCGGAACUGUCAGGCUAGAGUGCAGGAGAGGAAGGUAGAAUUCCCGGUGUAGCGGUGAAAUGCGUAGAGAUCGGGAGGAAUACCAGUGGCGAAGGCGGCCUUCUGGACUGACACUGACGCUGAGGUGCGAAAGCGUGGGUAGCAAACAGGAUUAGAUACCCCUGUAGUC